rnacentral:rRNA from 1 species
UACAGAGGUCUCGAGCGUUAGGCGGAAUCACUGGGCUUAAAGCGUGUGUAGGCGGAUUGCUAAGUACCUUGUGAAAUCCCACGGCUUAACCGUGGAACUGCUUGGUAUACUGGCUGUCUUGAGCCACUUAGGGGCAACCGGAACAAACGGUGGAGCGGUGAAAUGCGUAGAGAUGCGGAGGAACACCGAUGGCGAAGGCAGCCCCCUGGGCUAGCACUGACGCUCAGGCACGAAAGCGUGGGGAGCAAACAGG